rnacentral:sRNA from 1 species
GUGGCACCCCUGGGGGCAUAAGGCAGAUGGUUUUCAGCUCAGAGGUUUUGAUUUCAGAAGAGACUGACAACAGGAAGCUCCAGAUUAUAGGGGAGGCCAUGGGUGGGACCAUCUUGGAGAGAAUUAACAGUCUUGACUUAGCUGCAUCCAUAUGCUUGUGCCUGAGAAACCAGUAUCAGCCCUUUCCUCACUUAGAAAUGUAUCUCUACCCCUAUUCCUCCUGCAGCAGCCACAUCCUUGAUCAGGGAAGGAGAAGGAAGUAGAGAGGGAAGGAAUUGGUGGGGGUAGGAUUUGGGGUUUGGGUCCCAAGGCCUGUCUCAGCUUGCCUACCCAGGGGUUGGCCUUGGGAUCGGGGCAAAGCAGGGUGCAGGGGAUAAAAAAUGAGAGUUGGAGUCGUUUUUCAAGUGGGACCAGAAUUUAUACAAUCUGGGCUACAGGCCAGUUAUCCCUUGGCUCGCUUGAUGAAGUAGAAAUAGGAACUACAACUAUGAACUGGCUCUAUGCCACAGCUCACAAUUGUCCAUCUUCGGUCACGAUGGAGCCCUUGCAGCCCUUGACAGCACAACUGUUACACAUGAGGUCUUUGAUCCAUGGCAAACCCUUUCUUGAAGUAGCAGUUUUAUCAUUGUGGCCCUUCCUUCCUCAGAAUUCCUAAUAAGGGAGGGAGGAUCCCGGCCUAACCUCAGCUCUCCUGUUCUCCUCAGACCUCUGUGUGAGCGGCGGAAGUUUCUUCAUGACAACAUGGUUGAAAUUCCAAACCGGAUCAUGUUCUCAGAAAUGAAGCGAGUCACAGUAAGUGAAGACCCUAUGCUAGGCAGUGUCCUAGAAGUUUGAAAGCAGGGCAGAGAACUCCUUGGGUCAAGUGCGACUGGAAGAAUAAAUCUUAAUGUCUUAUGGAGCCUCCUGAUAAUGUUUGCCUUUGACUAUUGUAUAUGUUGUCUGCUAGUCUUCACCCAGAAAGGUAGGGCAUGGAAAUCCUUCCUGGGUAAGCCUCCUGUGUUUCAAAGCCACAGCAGCCCUCUGUUUGGGAUGAGAAGCAACCUGCUUUCUAACCCUUUGUCCCUUAUAUUUCAAGUAAGGGUGUUUCCACUGGGCACUUAACUAGUGUGUGAAAAGGAACAACCCCCACUCACGCACCACCUUCUCCACUCUCACACCAACUUCAGCAUCUCUCUUGUCCCUCAGAAAGCUUCGGACUUGGCUGACAUGAUAACCCGGGUGAUCCGGGAGGGAUUGGAGGGGCUGGUGCUGAAGGAUGUGAAGGGUACAUAUGAGCCUGGGAAGCGGCACUGGCUGAAAGUGAAGAAAGACUAUUUGAACGAGGGGGCCAUGGCCGACACAGCUGACCUGGUGGUCCUUGGGGCCUUCUAUGGGCAAGGGAGCAAAGGUCAGGGUGGCCUCUGCUCCCUGGGGUGGUACUGUUUUAGAAGGCACCGCUUGAGGUACAGGCUGGCCUUGUUACUGGCUUGAUCUGCCAGCAUGGCCAGUUAUGACUUCCGGAGUCCUGGGAUCUAGGGCCCCAAGCUGGCCUGAGUCACCUCAGGCAGAGCUGCUUACUCGGUUAGGGAGAAGUCAGAAUAGAGUACCCUAUGCUAGCUAGCAGAAGGACGCUUACCACCAAUUAUUGCGUCAGGGCCUGACAGCUUUCUCCUCAGGGAAAAUCUCUUUCCUGACUGGAAAGGAAGCUGGAGUCUGAGGAACUAAUACUUUUAAGCAAUCUAUCAUGUGUCCAAAAUCUAUCAUGUGUCCAACACAGUUCAAUGCCCCAGAGCCCAACAGGUUGGGUGUGAUUAUCCCUAAUUUACAGAAGAGGAAACUGGGGCUUAUAAAGGUUAAAAUUACACAGCUAGUAAGAGGUAGUUCCAAGAGGUAAACUCUGGCACUCUGACGGCCAGGACCCAGGUCCUCUCCCUGGCCCUGGGCUCUUGGGACUGGCAGAGAUGGCUCCUCCAACCCACACUUGUCUCACACUCCCCUCCCAGGCGGCAUGAUGUCAAUCUUCCUCAUGGGCUGCUACGACCCUGGCAGCCAGAAGUGGUGCACAGUCACCAAGUGUGCAGGAGGCCAUGAUGAUGCCACGCUUGCCCGCCUGCAGAAGGAACUAGACAUGGUGAAGAUCAGCAAGGACCCCAGCAAAAUACCCAGCUGGUUGAAGAUCAACAAGAUCUACUAUCCUGACUUCAUCGUCCCAGACCCAAAGAAAGCUGCCGUGUGGGAGAUCACAGGAGCUGAAUUCUCCAAAUCGGAGGCUCAUACAGCUGACGGGAUCUCCAUCCGAUUCCCUCGCUGCACCCGAAUCCGCGAUGAUAAGGACUGGAAAUCUGCCACUAACCUUCCCCAACUCAAGGAGCUGUACCAGUUGUCCAAGGAGAAGGCAGACUUCACUGUAGUGGCUGGAGAUGAGGGGAGCUCCACUACAGGGGGUAGCAGUGAAGAGAAUAAGGGUCCCUCAGGGUCUGCUGUGUCCCGCAAGGCCCCCAGCAAGCCCUCAGCCAGUACCAAGAAAGCAGAAGGGAAGCUGAGUAACUCCAACAGCAAAGACGGCAACAUGCUGACUGCAAAGCCUUCCACUAUGAAGGUGGGAGAGAAGCCGGCCAUGAAGUCUUCUCCAGUGAAAGUAGGGGAGAAGCGGAAAGCUGCUGAUGAGACCCUGUGCCAAACAAAGGUGAGGGUAAAAACAGCAACACACCACUUGGGCCAGUUUAGCCCAGGUUGUGUUCCCAACCUUCUGCACGAGAAGUUUGAAAGACGAUGAGCAAAGUGUUUGGGGAACAUCAGCUAAACCUCUUCCCUGCCUGCAUCCACUCCUCUGUCAUGGGCAGGGUCAGCAAUGCUGCUGCUCACCCUGUGUCCUCUUGUUGCCUUGCAGAGGCGGCCAGCCAGUGAGCAGAGUGGAAGAACUGUGCCAGCAGGCAGGAGAUAGAACAGCCCGGCCUAGCCAGGAGAGACUGCAGGGACUCACUCAGCUGCUGGCCCCAAGUCAAAAUUUACAUUAAAGGGGAGAGCCCAGUCUGGGUGUGGGAAUGCAGCAUUGAGUUUGUGGUCAGGGUGGAAGCAGGUCCAGCGAGCAGUGAGUUGGGGAGAGGUCACUGGCUUGGUGACUCUCUUCCCACCUGAGGAGCCUUUUCCCUUUUACACUUACUUGUCAGUCUUGGGUUUGGCAACAUCUCCUGAACAAUUUUUUUUUUUUUUUUUGAGAUAAGUCUCGCUCUGUCGCCCAGGCUGGAGUGAAGUGGUGCAAUCACGGCUCACUGCAACCUCCGCGUCCCAGGUUCAAGCGAUUCUCCAGCUUCAGCCUCCCGAGUAGCUGGGAGUAUAGGCAUGUGCCACCAUGCCCAGCUAAUUUUUGUAUUUUUAGUAGAGACGGGAUUUCACCAUGUUGGUCAGGCUGGUCUCAAAGUCCUGACCUCAAGUGAUCCCCCUGCCUUGGCCUCCCAAAGUGCUGGGAUUACAGGCCUGAGCCACCGCACCCGGCCUCUUUUGAGCACUUUCUGAUGCCAAGAACUAGGUUUAGUACUGGCUCAACUCUGGGGGAGCUGAUGGCUCAAAGGACAGAUAGAGAAGUAAACAUAUGAUUUACACCCAUGUCAUUGCACCCCCAUGCUCCCCACCGCCAUCCAGGAGUAAGCAUAGAAGUCUCACAGCUCAAGGCCUGAACUCGGUCCCCAACUGACCUGUAGAAACCUUUCCCCUCUCUCUUCCCAGCCUGAAGUCCUUGAACCCAUUGAGAGUAGUAAGCAGGACUCCUGACCCCUCAGUCUAGCAGGUUGUACAGAGUAGACUGCUUGGUCUCGGGACAUCACUGAGUCUGAGGGCACUAAGUCAGAGCCAGCUCCGCCUGCCCACCAUGACUGGGUGGCUCUUAUACACAUGUAUUCUUCCCAUCUCCAGGUCCCAGAUGUCGAGGCCUGUCCACUCUCCUUUUCCCCUAGGCAGGGAUGGAGGGGCGUGUCAGUCCUGUAUAAUGUGGAGUGACUGGAGGGGUGGGGGUAUUGAUGCAUGGUAUUCCAGUAAACUCCUCUGCUUGUGUCCUAACUCUAGGCUCCCUCAUUCUGUCCCAUGCUUAUCUGGGUGAAGACCCAUCUGUACCCAGUGUAGGUCUGACCCCACCCUGACCCCUCUGCAUUUGCAGGUACUGCUGGACAUCUUCACUGGGGUGCGGCUUUACUUGCCACCCUCCACACCAGACUUCAGCCGUCUCAGACGCUACUUUGUGGCAUUCGACGGGGACCUGGUACAGGAAUUUGAUAUGAUUUCAGCCACGCACGUGCUGGGUAGCAGGGACAAGAACGCUGCGGCCCAGCAGGUCUCCCCAGAGUGGAUUUGGGCAUGUAUCCGGAAACGGAGACUGGUAGCUCCCUGCUAGGUUUGCUGUCUUCCCUCUCCCUCAGGCCAUACUCUCCUUUACCAUACUACUGGACUGGACUCAGGCUGGAGGCAGAUAGACACAGUAUAGGGGGAAUGGGCUUGCUUCUCCCAAACGCACCAGUUCUCCACGGUCUCUUCUGGACCAGGAAUUAGUUGCUGUGGGUGCCACAGCUGAAGUCAGUUUCUCUUGCUGGUUUAAAUAGAUCUUUCAGAGCUGGGUGCUGGGUUUGCCAUCUUUUUGUUUUCUUUGAAAAGCAGCUUAGUUACGUUUUUUAUAAAUAAAAUAUCUUGCAGUU